AACGUAGGAGGCAAGCGUUAUCCGGAUUUACUGGGCGUAAAGCGCGUGCAGGUGGUUGCAUAAGUCGUGCGUGAAAGCGCCCUGCUUAACAGGGCGAGUGCGGGCGAGACUGUGCGACUAGAGCUAGAUAGAGGCAAGUGGAAUUCCGGGUGUAGUGGUGAAAUGCGUAGAGAUCCGGAGGAAUACCAGUGGCGAAGGCGGCUUGCUGGGUCUAAGCUGACACUCAGACGCGAAAGCAUGGGGAGCGAACGGGAUUAGAAACCCCGGUAGUCCAUGCCGUAAACGAUGUCGAUUAGGCGCUCGUCUCUUCGGAGGGGAGUGCCGUAGCUAACGCGCUAAAUCGACCGCCUGGGGAGUACGACCGCAAGGUUAAA
rnacentral:rRNA from 1 species